UGAGGGUGUGACGGAGAAGGAUAGUGUGUGCUAGCGAUUGGAAAUGCUAGUCUAAGCGUUUAGGGAGUUACAGUAGGCAAAUCCGCUGUAACAAUUCUGAGGCGUGAUGGGGAAGGUCAUUAAGACCGAAGUACAUGAUUCCAUGCUUCCAAGAAAAGCAUCUAGAGAGAGAAGUAGUGCCCGUACCGCAAACCGACACAGGUAGAUGAGGAGAGAAUCCUAAGGCCGGCGGAAGAAUUGCAGUUAAGGAACUAGGCAAAUUGACCCCGUAAGUUCGCGAGAAGGGGUGCCUGUGAGAGCAGGCCGCAGAGAAUAGGCCCAAGCAACUGUUUAGCAAAAACACAGGUCUCUGCUAAAGCGUAAGCUGAUGUAUAGGGGCUGACGCCUGCCCGGUGCUGGAAGGUUAAGGGGAACACUUAGCGCAAGCGAAGGUGUGAACUUAAGCCCCAGUAAACGGCGGCCGUAACCAUAACGGUCCUAAGGUAGCGAAAUUCCUUGUCAGGUAAGUUCUGACCCGCACGAAUGGCGUAAUGACUUGGGCACUGUCUCAACUGCAAAUCCGGCGAAGUUGUAGUGCGAGUGAAGAUGCUCGCUACCCGCGAUUGGACGGAAAGACCCCGUAGAGCUUUACUGUAGCUUGGCAUUGAAUUCCGGUAUUGUCUGUACAGGAUAGGUGGGAGACUGGGAAACUAGGGCGUCAGCCUUAGUGGAGUCAACCUUGGGAUACCACCCUGACAGUACUGGGGUUCUAACAGGACGCCAUGAAGCUGGUGACUGGACAUUGUUAGGUGGGCAGUUUGACUGGGGCGGUCGCCUCCUAAAAAGUAACGGAGGCGCCCAAAGGUUCCCUCAGAACGGUCGGAAAUCGUUCGUAGAGUGCAAAGGCAGAAGGGAGCCUGACUGCGAGACCCACAAGUCGAGCAGGGACGAAAGUCGGGCUUAGUGAUCCGGUGGUACCUCGUGGGAGGGCCAUCGCUCAACGGAUAAAAGCUACCUCGGGGAUAACAGGCUGAUCUCCCCCAAGAGUCCACAUCGACGGGGAGGUUUGGCACCUCGAUGUCGGCUCGUCGCAUCCUGGGGCUGUAGUAGGUCCCAAGGGUUGGGCUGUUCGCCCAUUAAAGCGGCACGCGAGCUGGGUUCAGAACGUCGUGAGACAGUUCGGUCCCUAUCCGUCGCGGGCGUAGGAAAUUUGAGAGGAGCUGUCCUUAGUACGAGAGGACCGGGAUGGACUGACCUCUGGUGCACCAGUUGUUCUGCCAAGAGCAUGGCUGGGUAGCUAAGUCGGGAAGGGAUAAACGCUGAAAGCAUCUAAGCGUGAAGCCCCCCUCAAGAUGAGAUUUCCCAUAGCAUAAGCUAGUAAGACCCCUUGAAGAACACAAGGUUGAUAGGUCAGAGGUGGAAGUGCGGUAACGUAUGUAGCUGACUGAUACUAAUAGGUCGAGGGCUUGACC
rnacentral:rRNA from 1 species